CUUUGAAAAUCAUAUUUUCCUGUCCAAGAGACGUGAAUUUGAGAUAAAUAAACAAACGUUAUAUUUAAUUUAGCUACACAACGUUCGAAUGUAGCUGGUGGUUGUCACAUACAUUUGGCUCUGGUGAAAUGCGUGGUCUGGGGUGUCCUAAUCGAAGCGACAAUAAUAAGAGGUUUUUACAUUUUCCUAAGGACCAGACUCGAAUAGAAGUGUGCCUUGCUGCCCUGCGAAAGACGGAGAAGUAGGAUUCAACAGAGGAGCACAUAUGUGAAAAACACUUUCUGACAGACCACAUAACGCCACUUGGAAUAAGCGAUGAUGCCAUUCCUAUCAUGCCACCAUACCUCGACGGACCACUAAAUCUGAUCAGCCCGUGGGCGAGGAGGAAUUGGUGGAUGAUGAUGUUGCUACGGCUAAACACGGGAGGAUACGCUCAUGAUUACUUUGAUUGAUAGCUUUCUUAUCGCAUUGAUUGUAGUCGUUGUUUUUAGUAAUCCCUGUCUACAUAUAUUUUAUUUACAGAAUGUUGAUGUUGAAGAAGAAUAUGAUGAGCCAGGCCGAGACAGAACCAUCUGCAUCUAUGUAAGUCUAGGUCCUGUGAACUGGUUGAAGGCACAAAGACAAGACAAGUUUCAUGGACCUUAACCUCAUGGCAAAGAACCUCAACACAAGCAAACCGAGGGUCUAUGACCUCUUUGACCUCUGCCUGGAGGGGAUCAACCUUAUUCAGAAACAAUCUGCCAACAAGAUCAAGUGGUUAACGGCAUCUAGAUCCACCUGAAGGGAGGCAGGGGACCAAUCAAAGUGUUGACCUGUGAGCUGGGCGGGCCUCAGUGUGACACACAGGGAAGUAGAAAGACCAGACUUUCUAGUUUUGGAGGAGAGAUCAUGCUUCUGCACACAGGCUUCCAUGUCUUCUCCCUGGACCUCCUCAAUGUCCACCUCUUGAACAUCG